rnacentral:rRNA from 1 species
AUUGAACGCUGGCGGCAGGCCUAAAACAUGCAAGUAGAACGAGUGGCGGACGGGUGAGUAAUGUCUGGGAAGAGGCGCGAUGGAGGGGGAUAACUACUGGAAACGGUAGCUAAUACAGCAUACCAUCGGAUGUGCCCAGAUGGGAUUAGCUAGUAGGUGGGGUAAUGGCUCACCUAGGCGACGAUCCCUAGCUGGUCUGAGAGGAUGACCAGCCACACUGGAACUGAGACACGGUCCAGACUCCUACGGGAGGCAGCAGUGGGGAAUAUUGCACAAUGGGCGCAAGCCUGAUGCAGCCAUGCCGCGUGUAUGAAGAAGGCCUUCGGGUUGUAAAGUACUUUCAGCGAGGAGGCGUUACUCGCAGAAGAAGCACCGGCUAACUCCGUGCCAGCAGCCGCGGUAAUUC